AUUGAACGCUGGCGGCAGGCUUAACACAUGCAAGUCGAGCGGAGUGAUGGUGCUUGCACUAUCACUUAGCGGCGGACGGGUGAGUAAUGCUUAGGAAUCUGCCUAUUAGUGGGGGACAACAUCUCGAAAGGGAUGCUAAUACCGCAUACGUCCUACGGGAGAAAGCAGGGGAUCACUUGUGACCUUGCGCUAAUAGAUGAGCCUAAGUCGGAUUAGCUAGUUGGUGGGGUAAAGGCCUACCAAGGCGACGAUCUGUAGCGGGUCUGAGAGGAUGAUCCGCCACACUGGGACUGAGACACGGCCCAGACUCCUACGGGAGGCAGCAGUGGGGAAUAUUGGACAAUGGGGGGAACCCUGAUCCAGCCAUGCCGCGUGUGGGGAGAAGGCCUUCGGGUCGUAAAGCACUUUAAGUUGGGAGGAAGGGCUUACAGCGAAUACCUGUGAGUUUUGACGUUACCGACAGAAUAAGCACCGGCUAACUUCGUGCCAGCCGCCGCGGUAA
rnacentral:rRNA from 1 species